CUUUUUUUGGCAACAUGUGUACCCAAAUUGGAACAAUACAAAGAAGAUUAUCAAGGUCAAUAUACAAGGAUGACACACAAACUAAGUGUUCCAUUUUAGAAAUAU